rnacentral:lncRNA from 1 species
CGGGAAAAUGGUCCCAAACGUGGAUUCUCUCGAGUUCCUUGGUUGAUUCCUUCUAUCCGGUUUGUACGUUGCGCCACUAAUAGAUUUCUAAAAAGAAAAUGUGUAUAGAAAAUUGCCAAUUGUUCCACUAUAUAGCAAAAACAAAAUAUUGACAAGAAAAUAAUAGGAAAAAAGAUGGCUGGCUACAUGAAGUAUCCGCGAAAACAUGGCCACACAUGCAAAGUUUAAAAAUGUAUCUCUAACUACACAAACUAUAUGUAUCGCAUGCCCACAUAUACGAACUAUAUGUAGUCAUGUCGCCAACACCACAAACAUUUUUUUCCAAUAUAUUUUUGCCGGAAUCCGGUAUUGACCAGUUUGACUGGCGUUGACUGUAUACAGGCUCCUAGGCAACCGUAUGGGCCCUGAACCAGGUAUAUGUUGAAAUAUGUGAAGAUUACGCACGCCACGAGAAAUCGCAACACUAAUCCAUGUUUCAAUAUCUAUAGAAGGACAAUUUCGACUAAGAGUGAGAUGCAGAGUUUCCAAGACAAGAGCUUUGUGUAGUAGGAAAAACCUGUCAACAAAACGCGAAGUUCUCCAGUGCUCAGUGUCAGGAGAUGGAUCAAGAUACUCAAGCUUAGGCACAUGUUUCCAAAGAUAACGCCACCGCCUGGACAAAAGGUUUGUGGAUACAACAACUUUGGUUGGAUACAUCAUCUGGCAAAAAACUGAUCCUAUCCAUUGUAAACGAACCCUUCGAAAUCUCAAAAGUUUGUCUCAGUAGAUUUUGUUGCUUUUCUUAUGCCCGUAACAAUUCUCAAGCAGAGAAGCCAAUAGCAAACCCUAGCAAUUACGACAACGCACUUGUUUCAAAUCAAACCAUACGGACAAAAAAAAUUGAGAAUCAACGAGAAAGUUUUUACCUUCUGAACAAAUCAACUACGACCUAGUUAUACUCAGUCAAAUGCUGAAUAUUCUUUAACAAUAAAACAAAUGCUGAAUAUUCUUUAACAAAUAAUAUAAAUUGUAUGUUUACAAAAUCUUUAAUG